rnacentral:rRNA from 1 species
UACGGAUGGUGCAAGCGUUAUCCGGAUUCACUGGGUUUAAAGGGUGCGUAGUUGGCUUUGUAAGUCAGUGGUGAAAGCCCGGAGCUCAACUCCGGAACUGCCAUUGAUACUGCUUAGCUUGAAUCACGUCGAGGUGGAUGGAAUAAUACAUGUAGCGGUGAAAUGCUUAGAUAUGUAUUAGAACACCGAUUGCGAAGGCAGUUCACUAGGCGUGUAUUGACACUGAGGCACGAAAGCGUGGGGAUCAAACAGG